AACGGCCAUACCAUGCUGAAUAUACCGGUUCUCGUUAGCAUCAUUGGGCACGGUCAGUACUUGGGUGGGUGACCACCUGGGAACACAGCGUGCCGUU